rnacentral:rRNA from 1 species
CAGUAGCCGCGGUAAUACGUAGGUGGCAAGCGUUGUCCGGAAUUAUUGGGCGUAAAGGGCUCGCAGGCGGUUUCUUAAGUCUGAUGUGAAAGCCCCCGGCUCAACCGGGGAGGGUCAUUGGAAACUGGGAAACUUGAGUGCAGAAGAGGAGAGUGGAAUUCCACGUAUAGCGGUGAAAUGCGUAGAGAUGUGGAGGAACACCAGUGGCGAAGGCGACUCUCUGGUCCGUAACUGACGCUGAGGAGCGAAAGCGUGGGGAGCGAACAGGAUUAGAUACCCCAGUAGUCCCUGUCUCUUAUAA